CUCGCGCGCCAUUAAAGCGGGUUAUGCCCAUUUCAAGUGGAAAAUCAUAAGCACCGCAAAUACGCCGUCAUUACCACGGACGAGGUACGAGCUCGCCACUUACUUUGUAAUCAUGACUAAUGCAUAAUGCAGUAGCGUCAGACUGCGUCGUACACAUCCGUAUCUAUGCACGCGACUCCGUGUGUGCACGUUGGCGUGAUCUCGUUGGCGGUCAGUCCUGUGUAGCCCAACUGCGGAUCCAACGGUUAUCCUCGAGGAAGACGUCCACGAGGGAAGCAGCACGUCGGCAUGAUGCUACCACGUGGAAUUGGAUCUUGCGGUGCGAUACGUAACCCGGACAGGGAGAGAUAGAGCAGGAAGAAAACCAGAUCGUUCUGAUGCUUCCCCACGAUUCGCUGAAUUUCUAUCUGGUAUACGCGAUUUCUUCCGUGGCCGCGAAACGAAGAGGAUCCGGCGGCACGGGGGUACAAGAAGAAGAUAUUCUUCCUGCGGUUCGCCGCUUGUUCCGCCGGUGGCAACGGGCGAGCGGUGACCUCCGUACCCCACGGGAGAAAGAAGGACCGAGGGACUCGAGAAGAGAGCACACGCCGUGAAAGGGGCAGGUGGGACAAGAAGAGAGAAGAGAGAAAGAGAGGGAGUCGCGCGAUGCGUUCCUGCGUGACGUAGCUUUCGCAGGCCAUCACGCAUAUGUUACCCUCCACGAGGGACACGUACGCGCUUACAAUACGAUCCGCGGGGUCAUUCCACCGAGUCCUCUCGGACACCUCUUCAGCUUCACCAUCCUCGUCCUCGUUGUCGUGAACUUUGUUCCCCGUUCCUGCGUUGUCUCCCUCCCGUCAGCCUCUCCACGCCGAGCCAAGCCGCGCAGCAGCGCGUUUCCCAAAAUGCAACUGUAUGCAUGCCGCGCGAUUGUCGCACAUUUAUCUUUCAGACUGUAAAGAGCUGUCCUUUCUUCAAUUUUUAAUCUCAAGAUAUCGAUUGAUGCCUGAUACAUGCGUGCUGACACGAACGAAGAGGAUGAUACUUGUUCGACAGAUGGAAUCUGUCAUACAUAGAAAGAUGUACAUGUGAGACGCGCGCUGGAAACUUUCCACACGAUGCAAUUGCAUCGAGCCUGUGUCCUGACACCGUUUUCCCGUCUUUUUCCUUCCGACCACGUAUGUACAUUCAACAAGAGAGCGAGGUAGACUGCGGGCGGAUGACAAACAAAGAGCGGCGUGACCUCGUCGCCUCGCGCGCGCGCGAGGUGCGAUUAGCGCGAACGAUUCUCUCGCGCGAGUGAGCGAGUCGACAGGUCGGUUCGCGAAAGAUGUAGGAGGCAGGCAAAAGAGAAGGAAGAACGCGAACGGAAGAAAGAUAAACGAAGCAAGGAAGAAGUUGAAUACGUAAGUCGACUAAAGGUCGAAAGCUGACCACGAGUCAUCUCGGUUGCGACAACUCGCGCUGCCGCUUGCUCUUGCGUGUCGGCGUUUUCAAUCUCGCAGAAACCUGGUGCACAAAGCGAAAUACGAGUAGGUAUACGCGGGAACUCGGAUUCCGGAACAAUGUCGAACAAUGGACUUGUUGUUGAGUGAGUCCACAAGUUACGGGAACGUGAUUCAUGUUAAAAAUUUAACUUUUCACUAAUAUAUUGUAUUAAUGAUGCUGAUUUAUUUCUGAGAAUGGAUUAAAAUUAUAGACGAACGGUGAAAAGACGUACAAUUAAACGUAUGUCUUUGUAAGAUAGACGAAACACGUCUAUCACGUGGAUGAAACGUAAGACGGUGACGCGCGCGAGCAAUGAGCGAUUAAUGUUAGAUUAUCUCAUCUACGAGUCAGCGAGGACAUCGAAGCAUAAUGAUAAAAGAACGAGAAAAGAAGCGACGUACUGGAGACACAGGUACUCUACUCGAUCAAAGGUCGAGCCGCGCGCAUAACUCGCUAUGGCAUCGAUAAACGAGUCCCCUGUCCCCGGUUUCCUUUUUCGCUCGUAAAGAUGGCAUUUCGCCAUAUGGCAGAUGAACAAAGCACACAUGGAGAAUUGACGUAAGAAGUUACUGACAAAUGGACAGAUGACCAAUAACGAGUCUACCACGUUACUCCUAUUCUACGUCGAGAGACCCUUUGACAAACGCAGGAAGAAGAUAUCACGGAAGAAUGACAAUGAGGCCAAAGGACAAACGAACCGUUUGAAGAGGCUGUCAGAGUCAAAGUCACGCGAAAAGCGCGAAUCUAGUGGUAAUGAUCGCCUCUAUCGCGAGCGAUUAUAACCGUUAAUUAACGCGCUCUCGCGCGUCGCCGGCUCGAUUUUUUCUCAGCUGUACAUAUACGCCGCUAAUUGCCACGUGGCACAGGUGACUGAAAGAACGGAAUAUCUCGACAAUGAAACUCAACAGGUUGCCGGCGUAUGGCAGCAAGCGAGACUUCCUCUGCACGAGCAAUUAGCGCGGACGAUUCUCUCGCGUAACAUCGCGAGAGAAAAACCUGGUGUAGCCACGUCGAGGGACAAUCAAAUGACUUUAUCAUUGAAUUUGAAAAUUCUAGCGAAUCACUUCAUUAACCUGGGCGGCCGGAUAAAAAGUCAAUAUUCGCACAAUUCGAAGUAUACAUCUUCCACUGAUGCACGGUUUCUCGAUACAUCGGUCAACCAUCGUUCUCCAAUAUUACGGAGCUUACGGAGUUUGAUGAAACCGGAUCGGAUACUUUUGCAAAAGACUGUACGCUACCAAGUCUCAGCAAAGCAGUUAGCAUUAGGCACGAUGACGAAGAAGGCCAGGGACUCGGUGAGAUGAUAGCGAGCGCGUUCGCUGACGGCUCGCAUCGGUCACACCGCAGGUGACUCGUCGCGGUCUGAGUGCCGGCCUCUGCUGACCCACGUACCUGAUUCUCUAUCCAUGUCCUUCUCCGCCAUCUCCAACUCCCGUUUUCCCCCUUGUGUAGGACGCGAAAAGUGUCUGCAAAGUCCACCGAACAAUGGACUCGUGCUCUUCGUACGUAGCAGAAUUUAUUUCAUCUCAUUAUCGUACCUCAGUUAAGAAUAGAUAACGUAUGCAUAAAUUAUCAUCUUUGUGAUUGCCAACUUGACACGUACGCGCGCAGUCGAGACAGGAUUGUGCAUACAAAUUUCUGACUAAUAUGAGAAAAACUCUGGCGCAGAACGCGAGGAUACGAAUCUGCCUUUUGCGAGCUUUUUGCGUACGUGAGAAUUCGUUUUCCGUCAUUCUCGCAUCCCUGUUAUAAAUUCGCGUGAACGCGGCCGUUGAUUGCACGCGGGAUAUAUUGCGCGUAUAAAUUCCUGGUUGACACGAGAAAACGCGGUGCCGUCGAACGUCGGCGAACGUCGCCGUAGGACCUGCGACCUCCGCGGAGUUAAUGAUACGCGCGACUGCAGAUGAUCCUUAUAUAGAGAGCGCCGGCAAAACUCGCCGCGUGUGUGCUCGUCAGCACGCAUCAUUUCGAGUGAUGUAUUACUCACCGGGUGUCAUCAGAAAACGGUUAUGUGACCCUGGAUAACUCCCGACGGUCAUACACUCCCGCGGCCACCUCGCGCGGGUCGCGCGUAUUUCACUUUGCUAUCGAGCAUAUUCGCUUCGUCAGCGUUCAGGGUCUGAUCACAAUUGAUGCGACUUUGUAAGCGAUCGUGCGCCAGCGCGAGCAUAAGUGUGAGAAGAGAAUAGAAAGAGGAUGAUCAAAUGAAACUUCUUUCCUUAAUUAUUUAAAUGCAUAUAUAUGUAUUUAAUAUAAUCAAGUGACGGAGUAAGCUGUGAUACACGCGGCAGAAAGUAAAAUUGACGAUCAAUUUCGCACACGCAAUCGUGAAACCUUGAUGAAGAAUUGCCAACGCGAUGCGACGCAAAACUUAGUGUUCUUGUAUCAUGAUGCAAAUCUUAUUUUCCUCCUUAAAGUCGGCUCUAUUAUUCCUUUUAUAUGUCGCAAAUGAUUUUCUGUUAGCAGCAAACAGCUCGAUUUUAUUAUUUUUUCUCUCUGGCAAGCGCGAAAUUUACAAACAAUAGAAAAUAGAAAAACACACAGGAAGAACGAAUAAUAUCAUCGGUUACAUUUAGAAUCUUAAGAUAUGACUUGAAAUAAUUGAUACUUGAAAUAAUGCUGAAACGAUACAACGGUGUGUGUGUCUUUCACGCCGCCAAAGGGUUAGGAUAUCGCCUUAAACCUCUUAUAAUAGCGCGAUAAUGUGCCACGGCCGUAGACAAAAUAGGUAACGGUUGAACAGCGGUCUCCUUUGUGACUUUACUGGUGUGGCUUGUGAUAGCGAUAACGUUUCAUCGAUUAUCGAGCUGAGACAAUGUGAGAUAUCUGUCCCCACGGUGAAAAAAAGCCAAUCUCGAAAAAAUGUCAUGGUAUGAUUCAACCUGCGAAUCGCGUUAUUUAAUUACUCACGGAUCAUGGCUGCAUUCCGGAAAGCGUGACCAAUCUCACCGAUCACAGUUUAGUUCGGCGAUAUCGAAAGCUAGCUAAUUAAUCGCGAGCAUGUCGCGCAUCUGUUGGCUUCUCGAGCGGUCGAGACACUUUGCGCAUAGCGACGUCAUCGUAGAAAACGACGGGCCACCCACGACAGUCUGCCACCGUAUCAUCGACAAACGUAAAUUAGCGACUUAUCGUAUCGCCGAGGUCGUUAGGCCUAUCGACAACUAGCGAAACUCAAUGACACGAUCCCGUGGCUACUGCGGUCUAGGGGAGCUACGGAUAAUGAUAGCGCUACGACAGAAUGCAACCUGCAACGUCGCAAAAUGGGGCCUUUUCCCCAUUGUCUUGGUAGUUUGGAAAAGAAUACAAAGAGAUGAUAAAAUUGAUAAAUUUUACAAGAGCGUUAUCACGUAGCGCACUAUGCAGCCAUUGCGUUAACAUAUCUUAUGUUCCGAGUGAGCUCCUGUAAGGCGUAGGUGUGUAGAUAACUGCAGAAGUGAUUAAAUCGAUUUACUGUGUCGAAAUCACGAGCGUUCAUUCGUAAGAUAAAUCACGCGUAGUAAAGUGGAAAGACUAGUUUCUUUUUACGUAAGAUUUCGGUCACCCAGUACAAAAAUUACCUGAGGCCCCGAGUCUCGAAAUUCUGCCUGACCCGAGGAGAGGUCCAAAAGUCGGCAGACAAGGAAUGUCGAGACCAGGAUUAUACUUUGCUAAUGAACCUCUGUGGCUGGUCUAACGCCUGAGGACCAGAAAAAUCGAAAUGAAAAUUGACUCACCGCUCGUUUCCCAUUAUAACAAAGAUCGAACAAAUAAAGGCUUUAGAAGUUUUGAGA